rnacentral:lncRNA from 1 species
ACAAGCAUAAAAUGAAUUGCCUUAAGAUGGAAAAAUUUACACCAGGGUCUAAAAUACGAUCAUGAAAACUUCUGAAGGACCGUAUUAUCCUUUUCAGGUUGAAGAAAAGUGUUGUAAAAGAGGGACAGGCCGAGAGCUAAAACAUCUGGGAGCAGAAGUCAGUACUCAGGUCAGUGUGACGAAGAAGCUGGAAAUGGUUCCCUAUGGGCCAUCUGCACUGAAGGGCGAUAACUCUGCUGUGAAGACACACUUCUGAUGGAGAAGAGAAACUGUCUAUAAAGAAUGCAAGCUCACAUGUUCUUACAAGAAUGGCGACAAGACAGACAGCCUAGGGACAUUUUACUUUUGAGGUUUGGUGUGGAGAUUACGGAUGAAGAAUUUGAGUUGCCACUUGACAGAAUCCCCCUUGAUGAAGACGGAAAUGUCAGAGACACCCAGCUCAUACCCAUGCUUGAUUUUGUGUUUUCCCCAUCCCUUUGUAAAUUUUUGUCCUUAAUUUUGAUACAAAGAAUAUGGCCCUAAAAGCCUUUUACAACUUCUCUCCUUGCUUUGUAUCUCACAUUUUAGUAGUUUAUGUGACAAAAGAUUUUCAGAAUAGCAAGAUGAUGAUGAUGAUGAUGAUGAUGAUGAUGAUGAUGAUGAUGAUGAC